AAUAAAAUAUAAAACAUUCCACCUAAAUCAUCUCCUCACGUUCACGACGUUCCCCGGCUCCGUUCAUCUGCGAUCUUCGCCUCCAGAACAUCUCCGACGUGCUCGAUCCCAUCAGCCACCAGCCGCAACCGCUCAUAACUUUUCUGGAUUCAUCCAGGCGCACUCGCCAAUCCGAUCCUCCCUCCUUGAGGGAACCAAAGCUUGAGUCUCUUCACAUCUAGAUCGAUUCCGAUCUUAGAUCAAAGACAUCGGAUCUGGCCAGGUUUUAUUGAUUCCUUGAUACAGAUCUAAGAUCCAACAUCCUAUCCGGUUUACUUGUAUCAACUGGUUCUUUCAAAUUAUUUGAUCUCUAUUUCAGGAUAUUCUAAACAUGGAUGCAGUCGAAGCCACUCUCAAGAGGAUGCAAGAAUUUCAAUUAUCGCAAACUCGAGAGAUGACAGAACUGAG
rnacentral:lncRNA from 1 species